GUAAGCUACUAAGAGCGAAUGGUGGAUGCCUUGACUGGUAAAGGCGAUGAAGGACGUACUAGACUGCGAUAAGCUACGGGGAGCUGUCAAGAAGCUUUGAUCCGUAGAUUUCCGAAUGGGGCAACCCAAUGUAUAGAGAUAUACAUUACCUAUAUAGGAGCGAACGAGGGGAAUUGAAACAUCUUAGUACCCUCAGGAAAAGAAAUCAAUAGAGAUUGCGUCAGUAGCGGCGAGCGAAAGCGCAAGAGGGCAAACCCAGUGCUUGCACUGGGGGUUGUAGGACUGCAAUGUGCAAGAGGUAAGUUUAGCAGAACAUUCUGGAAAGUAUAACCAUAGAGGGUGAUAGUCCCGUAUGCGAAAAACAAACCUUAGCUAGCAGUAUCCUGAGUAGGGCGGGACACGAGGAAUCCUGUCUGAAUCCGGGUCGACCACGAUCCAACCCUAAAUACUAAUACCAGAUCGAUAGUGCACAAGUACCGUGAGGGAAAGGUGAAAAGAACUGAGGUGAUCAGAGUGAAAUAGAACCUGAAACCAUUUGCUUACAAUCAUUCAGAGCCCUAUGUAGCAAUACAGGGUGAUGGACUGCCUUUUGCAUAAUGAGCCUGCGAGUUGUGGUGUCUGGCAAGGUUAAGCAAACGCGAAGCCGUAGCGAAAGCGAGUCUGAAUAGGGCGCUUAGUCAGAUGCUGCAGACCCGAAACGAAGUGAUCUAUCCAUGAGCAAGUUGAAGCUAGUGUAAGAACUAGUGGAGGACUGAACCCAUAGGCGUUGAAAAGCCCCGGGAUGACUUGUGGAUAGGGGUGAAAGGCCAAUCAAACUUCGUGAUAGCUGGUUCUCUCCGAAAUAUAUUUAGGUAUAGCGUUGUGUCGUAAUAUAAGGGGGUAGAGCACUGAAUGGGCUAGGGCAUACACCAAUGUACCAAACCCUAUCAAACUCCGAAUACCUUAUAUGUAAUCACAGCAGUCAGGCGGCGAGUGAUAAAAUCCGUCGUCAAGAGGGAAACAACCCAGACUACCAGCUAAGGUCCCUAAAUCUUACUUAAGUGGAAAACGAUGUGAAGUUACUUAAACAACCAGGAGGUUGGCUUAGAAGCAGCCAUCCUUUAAAGAAAGCGUAAUAGCUCACUGGUCUAGUGAUUUUGCGCGGAAAAUAUAACGGGGCUAAAGUAAGUACCGAAGCUGUAGACUUGCACACAACUUAGAUUAUUUAAGUUUAGAAUAUGAGAAACUAAGUUAUAUGUUUAGUUAUAUUUUUACUGAUUUUUAUAGAGUAAAGAUAGAAAUAAAACUUAGUAAAAUCAGUAAAAAUAUUCUUAGACUAAAGUUAAGUAGUUUAAGUUGUGUGCAAGUGGUAGGAGAGCGUUCUAUUUGCGUCGAAGGUAUACCGGUAAGGAGUGCUGGAGCGAAUAGAAGUGAGCAUGCAGGCAUGAGUAGCGAUAAUUAAUGUGAGAAUCAUUAACGCCGUAAACCCAAGGUUUCCUACGCGAUGCUCGUCAUCGUAGGGUUAGUCGGGUCCUAAGUCGAGUCCGAAAGGGGUAGACGAUGGCAAAUUGGUUAAUAUUCCAAUACCAACAUUAGUGUGCGAUGGAAGGACGCUUAGGGCUAAGGGGGCUAGCGGAUGGAAGUGCUAGUCUAAGGUCGUAGGAGGUUAUACAGGCAAAUCCGUAUAACAAUACUCCGAGAACUGAAAGGCUUUUUGAAGUCUUCGGAUGGAUAGAAGAACCCCUGAUGCCGUCGAGCCAAGAAAAGUUUCUAAGUUUAGCUAAUGUUGCCCGUACCGUAAACCGACACAGGUGGGUGGGAUGAGUAUUCUAAGGCGCGUGGAAGAACUCUCUUUAAGGAACUCUGCAAAAUAGCACCGUAUCUUCGGUAUAAGGUGUGGUUAGCUUUGUAUUAGGAUUUACUCCGAAAGCAAGGAAACUUACAACAAAGAGUCCCUCCCGACUGUUUACCAAAAACACAGCACUCUGCUAACUCGUAAGAGGAUGUAUAGGGUGUGACGCCUGCCCGGUGCUCGAAGGUUAAUUGAUGGGGUUAGCAUUAGCGAAGCUCUUGAUCGAAGCCCGAGUAAACGGCGGCCGUAACUAUAACGGUCCUAAGGUAGCGAAAUUCCUUGUCGGUUAAAUACCGACCUGCAUGAAUGGCGUAACGAGAUGGGAGCUGUCUCAAAGAGGGAUCCAGUGAAAUUGUAGUGGAGGUGAAAAUUCCUCCUACCCGCGGCAAGACGGAAAGACCCCGUGGACCUUUACUACAGCUUGACACUGCUACUUGGAUAAGAAUGUGCAGGAUAGGUGGGAGGCUUUGAGUAUAUGACGCCAGUUGUAUAUGAGCCAUUGUUGAGAUACCACUCUUUCUUAUUUGGGUAGCUAACCAGCUUGAGUUAUCCUCAAGUGGGACAAUGUCUGGUGGGUAGUUUGACUGGGGCGGUCGCCUCCCAAAUAAUAACGGAGGCUUACAAAGGUUGGCUCAGAACGGUUGGAAAUCGUUCGUAGAGUAUAAAGGUAUAAGCCAGCUUAACUGCAAGACAUACAAGUCAAGCAGAGACGAAAGUCGGUCUUAGUGAUCCGGUGGUUCUGUGUGGAAGGGCCAUCGCUCAAAGGAUAAAAGGUACCCCGGGGAUAACAGGCUGAUCUCCCCCAAGAGCUCACAUCGACGGGGAGGUUUGGCACCUCGAUGUCGGCUCAUCGCAUCCUGGGGCUGGAGCAGGUCCCAAGGGUAUGGCUGUUCGCCAUUUAAAGCGGUACGCGAGCUGGGUUCAGAACGUCGUGAGACAGUUCGGUCCCUAUCUGCCGUGGGCGUAAGAAGAUUGAAGAGAUUUGACCCUAGUACGAGAGGACCGGGUUGAACAAACCACUGGUGUAGCUGUUGUUCUGCCAAGAGCAUCGCAGCGUAGCUAAGUUUGGAAAGGA
rnacentral:rRNA from 1 species